UGGCUCAGAUUGAACGCUGGCGGCAGGCCUAACACAUGCAAGUCGAGCGGUAGAGAGAAGCUUGCUUCUCUUGAGAGCGGCGGACGGGUGAGUAAUGCCUAGGAAUCUGCCUGGUAGUGGGGGAUAACGUUNGGAAACGGACGCUAAUACCGCAUACGUCCUACGGGAGAAAGCAGGGGACCUUCGGGCCUUGCGCUAUCAGAUGAGCCUAGGUCGGAUUAGCUAGUUGGUGGGGUAAUGGCUCACCAAGGCGACGAUCCGUAACUGGUCUGAGAGGAUGAUCAGUCACACUGGAACUGAGACACGGUCCAGACUCCUACGGGAGGCAGCAGUGGGGAAUAUUGGACAAUGGGCGAAAGCCUGAUCCAGCCAUGCCGCGUGUGUGAAGAAGGUCUUCGGAUUGUAAAGCACUUUAAGUUGGGAGGAAGGGCAGUUGCCUAAUACGUAACUGUUUUGACGUUACCGACAGAAUAAGCACCGGCUAACUCUGUGCCAGCAGCCGCGGUAAUACAGAGGGUGCAAGCGUUAAUCGGAAUUACUGGGCGUAAAGCGCGCGUAGGUGGUUUGUUAAGUUGGAUGUGAAAUCCCCGGGCUCAACCUGGGAACUGCAUUCAAAACUGACUGACUAGAGUAUGGUAGAGGGUGGUGGAAUUUCCUGUGUAGCGGUGAAAUGCGUAGAUAUAGGAAGGAACACCAGUGGCGAAGGCGACCACCUGGACUAAUACUGACACUGAGGUGCGAAAGCGUGGGGAGCAAACAGGAUUAGAUACCCUGGUAGUCCACGCCGUAAACGAUGUCAACUAGCCGUUGGAAGCCUUGAGCUUUUAGUGGCGCAGCUAACGCAUUAA
rnacentral:rRNA from 1 species